AAAUUGGGGAUCGGGUUUUGAAAUUUUUAUUUAGUAUCACCUAACGUUACACGAUAAUCAAAAUGAUCAUUAUAUUCCUUUGUAUUGCUUUUACCUCGGUUUCAGGUUCCUCUCUCAGUGACAAUGUCCACCAGACUCCAGCUGACACGUUCAAGAAACCCGAUGAACCUGCAACAAUUACAUGUUCACACAGUAUUCUGAACUAUGAUCGAAUCCUCUGGUACAAGCAGUCAAAGAAUAAAAAACUGCAGUUCCUGGGUUACAUGUAUAAAGAUAAUGGGAACCCAGAGGCUGGACUGGGUGUAAAAAUGGAUGGGAGUGCAGAUAAAGACCAGACCUGCACAUUAACAAUAGAAAAACUCAGCCUGAGCAGCAGUGCAGUGUACUACUGUGCUGCUAGUUUACACAGUGCUGCAUAUCACUGCUCCUCAGUACAAAAACCUCCUCAACACACAUUCUCUUAUCUCUGUAUUGGAGCUCCUUACACCCGUCUGUCUCCCUCUUAUAAGGUGGCAGUAUAUCUGGGUGUAGGGAUAGUCAAUAGGGCUGGGACAAUAUGCCUUUGACCCAACUCGAUUCUUUCACGAUAUACAAGUGCCAAUUCAAUUUGCAUUGCAAAUUUCAUUUAUUGCGAUUGU